UGUUGAAAGUUUCAUCCGUUUUUACUAUUAAAAACUAACGUGAUUGAUAGAAUAACUAAACAGUUACAUGUGGCGUGCCACGACAUGCUAACAUUAAAAAUGGAUAGAACUUUUAAUA
rnacentral:pre_miRNA from 1 species